GACGUUGCAUGAAUGUUUUCUCGUCACAGCAUCGUCAUGGAAAUUGCACCAAGCCCUGGUUUACUCACAUCCAUCCAGUAUUUAAGACACAGUACCACAGAUACCAAAGGAAAUACAGACUGGGACAAUAACUGAGCAGGAACAUCUGUGCAAGGUUCUUUUGAAGCUUUUGAUUUGCAGGAUGAAGACUUUACAUGCAAUGCUACUGAUGCUGUUCGUCGCAUCAGUUUUUUCAAUGCCAGGUUAUCGGCGCAGAAGAUCUGAUUCAUCAGAAGAAUCGGAGGGUUCGGAUGAAAAUGAUUCAAUGGGAGCGUUCAGUGAGGAGUCAGAGUCAGUUGAGAAUUCAGAUGAGUCUAAUGAAUCUUCUGAGGAAAUCAUCAGAGUUGUUACAGCUCCUCCAACCAUCACGACAUGAGGCUCAUAAGACAUCACAAGCUGUGUCACUGGGGAUCUGACAACUAAAAUAAUGGGCAAGAAUAAUAAAAUCGUUAAAAUAUCUUGUA